rnacentral:rRNA from 6 species
CCCAGACAGCCAGGAUGUUGGCUUAGAAGCAGCCAUCAUUUAAAGAAAGCGUAAUAGCUCACUGGUCGAGUCGGCCUGCGCGGAAGAUGUAACGGGGCUAAACCAUGCACCGAAGCUGCGGCAGCGACGCUGAUGCGUUGUUGGGUAGGGGAGCGUUCUGUAAGCCUGCGAAGGUGACCUGUGAGGGUUGCUGGAGGUAUCAGAAGUGCGAAUGCUGACAUAAGUAACGAUAAAGCGGGUGAAAAGCCCGCUCGCCGGAAGACCAAGGGUUCCUGUCCAACGUUAAUCGGGGCAGGGUGAGUCG